UACGUAGGGUCCGAGCGUUGUCCGGAAUUAUUGGGCGUAAAGAGCUCGUAGGCGGUUUGUCGCGUCUGCUGUGAAAUCCCGAGGCUCAACCUCGGGUCUGCAGUGGGUACGGGCAGACUGGAGUGCGGUAGGGGAGAAUGGAAUUCCUGGUGUAGCGGUGGAAUGCGCAGAUAUCAGGAGGAACACCGAUAGCGAAGGCAGCUCGCUGGGACGGUACUGACGCUGAGGCGCGAAAGCGUGGGGAGCGAACAGG
rnacentral:rRNA from 1 species